GACGAACGCUGGCGGCGUGCUUAACACAUGCAAGUCGAACGGAAAGGCCCUGCUUUUGUGGGGUGCUCGAGUGGCGAACGGGUGAGUAACACGUGAGUUACCUGUCAUUGACUUAGGGAUAACUUAAGGCAACUGGAGCUAAUACCGGAUAGGAGCUCCUGCUGCAGGGUGGGGGCUGGAAAGUUUCGGCGGUUGGGGAUGGACUCGCGGCCUAUCAGCUUGUUGGUGGGGUAGUGGCAUACCAAGGCUUUGACGGGUAGCCGGCCUGAGAGGUGGACCAGCCACAAUAGGACUGAGAUACGGCCCAGACGCGAAUGGUAGGCAACGGUGGAGAGUAUUAUACAGGGGUGGGGAGUGUGAUGCGACGACGCCGCGUGUGGGAUGACGGCCAUGGGGUUGGGAAGCGCAGUCGGCUGAGACGAAGCGGGAGUGACGUUAAUGGGAGAAUAAGCACCGGCUAACUACGUG
rnacentral:rRNA from 1 species